rnacentral:rRNA from 1 species
UAGACCCAGGGAAACCUGGAUUAAUACCGGAGUGAGACGGGACCCGCGAUGGACGGGAUCCGGGAAAGGCGCUGCGGCGACCGCCGGGGGAUGAGUCUGCGUCCCAUUAGCGUAGACGGCGGGUAACGGCCCACCGUGGCGACGAUGGGUAGCCGGCCUGAGAGGGUGGACGGCCACAUUGGAACUGAGACACGGUCCAGACUCCUACGGGAGGCAGCAGCUAAGAAUCUUCCGCAAUGGGCGAAAGCCUGACGGAGCGAACCGCCGCGUGAACGAAGAAGGCCGUGAGGUUGUAAAGUUCUUUUCGGGAGGGGGAACAACCGUGGCAGGGAAUGGCCGCGGGAUGACGUGAAUCCCGGAAUAAGCCCCGGCUAACUACGUGCCAGCCGCGGC